GAUGAACGCUGGCGGCGUGCCUAAUACAUGCAAGUCGAGCGAACGGACGAGAAGCUUGCUUCUCUGAUGUUAGCGGCGGACGGGUGAGUAACACGUGGAUAACCUACCUAUAAGACUGGGAUAACUUCGGGAAACCGGAGCUAAUACCGGAUAAUAUUUUGAACCGCAUGGUUCAAAAGUGAAAGACGGUCUUGCUGUCACUUAUAGAUGGAUCCGCGCUGCAUUAGCUAGUUGGUAAGGUAACGGCUUACCAAGGCAACGAUGCAUAGCCGACCUGAGAGGGUGAUCGGCCACACUGGAACUGAGACACGGUCCAGACUCCUACGGGAGGCAGCAGUAGGGAAUCUUCCGCAAUGGGCGAAAGCCUGACGGAGCAACGCCGCGUGAGUGAUGAAGGUCUUCGGAUCGUAAAACUCUGUUAUUAGGGAAGAACAUAUGUGUAAGUAACUGUGCACAUCUUGACGGUACCUAAUCAGAAAGCCACGGCUAACUACGUGCCAGCAGCCGCGGUAAUACGUAGGUGGCAAGCGUUAUCCGGAAUUAUUGGGCGUAAAGCGCGCGUAGGCGGUUUUUUAAGUCUGAUGUGAAAGCCCACGGCUCAACCGUGGAGGGUCAUUGGAAACUGGAAAACUUGAGUGCAGAAGAGGAAAGUGGAAUUCCAUGUGUAGCGGUGAAAUGCGCAGAGAUAUGGAGGAACACCAGUGGCGAAGGCGACUUUCUGGUCUGUAACUGACGCUGAUGUGCGAAAGCGUGGGGAUCAAACAGGAUUAGAUACCCUGGUAGUCCACGCCGUAAACGAUGAGUGCUAAGUGUUAGGGGGUUUCCGCCCCUUAGUGCUGCAGCUAACGCAUUAAGCACUCCGCCUGGGGAGUACGACCGCAAGGUUGAAACUCAAAGGAAUUGACGGGGACCCGCACAAGCGGUGGAGCAUGUGGUUUAAUUCGAAGCAACGCGAAGAACCUUACCAAAUCUUGACAUCCUUUGACAACUCUAGAGAUAGAGCCUUCCCCUUCGGGGGACAAAGUGACAGGUGGUGCAUGGUUGUCGUCAGCUCGUGUCGUGAGAUGUUGGGUUAAGUCCCGCAACGAGCGCAACCCUUAAGCUUAGUUGCCAUCAUUAAGUUGGGCACUCUAAGUUGACUGCCGGUGACAAACCGGAGGAAGGUGGGGAUGACGUCAAAUCAUCAUGCCCCUUAUGAUUUGGGCUACACGCGUGCUACAAUGGACAAUACAAAGGGCAGCGAAACCGCGAGGUCAAGCAAAUCCCAUAAAGUUGUUCUCAGUUCGGAUUGUAGUCUGCAACUCGACUACAUGAAGCUGGAAUCGCUAGUAAUCGUAGAUCAGCAUGCUACGGUGAAUACGUUCCCGGGUCU
rnacentral:rRNA from 1 species